rnacentral:rRNA from 1 species
CAGUAGCCACGGUAAUACGUAGGGUGCAAGCGUUAAUCGGAAUUACUGGGCGUAAAGCGUGCGCAGGCGGCUUUGCAAGACAGAUGUGAAAUCCCCGGGCUCAACCUGGGAACUGCAUUUGUGACUGCAAGGCUAGAGUGCGGCAGAGGGGGAUGGAAUUCCGCGUGUAGCAGUGAAAUGCGUAGAUAUGCGGAGGAACACCGAUGGCGAAGGCAAUCUCCUGGGCCUGCACUGACGCUCAUGCACGAAAGCGUGGGGAGCAAACAGGAUUAGAUACCCCCGUAGUCCCUGUCUCUUAUAC